rnacentral:rRNA from 1 species
UACGUAGGUGGCAAGCGUUGUCCGGAUUUACUGGGCGUAAAGAGCGCGCAGGCGGUCGUGCAAGUCGCGUGUGAAAGCCCCCGGCUCAACUGGGGAGGGUCACGCGAUACUGUUCGACUCGAAGGCAGGAGAGGGAAGCGGAAUUCCCGGUGUAGUGGUGAAAUGCGUAGAUAUCUGGAGGAACACCGGUGGCGAAGGCGGCAUCCUGGACCGGCAUUGACGCUGAGGCGCGAAAGCCAGGGGAGCAAACGGG